CGACGGCCCAACAGCAACCGCAGGAUUGGCAGAACCUAAUGCGACUGGAAGAAAGGGUCUGAGGACGGUGGAGGACGGCCUCCUCAUUUUCGGAAACGGACAUUCGUACGUGGUGGACGGAUUCACUCAGACUCAAUUUCCCGUCUGGGACUUUCGGGCAGAUCGUUCCAACGUACACGACGCCUGCAGCAACAGCAGCAAGUUCUCCCUGCUGGACUACGAGGACAUUGGCGAGGUGCACAAGCACCGCUACCUCUGCCAGCUCAUCGCCCUGGAGAUCUUCUCCGCGUGAUCUUGUCUCGUUUGACUUUCAUCCGCCAGUUGACGGGCGACAAGCGCUGCCUGCUCAGGCACUUGGCUCCACCUCUGGUCCAUCAACGGCGACCCGCUAGCCAGCGUCACCACACCAUACAAUGCCCAACUGUGCAGCGAACUGAGCGACAAAGUGGUCCAGCAUUUCGUUCACUACAUCGAGACUCACGGCCGUCACGUGGAAUAUCUCCACUUUCUGCAGACUGCACUUCAUCGAUCGUGAAGCGGAAGGAGGUGAAGAAAAGGCUG